rnacentral:tRNA from 1 species
AGUCAAAUAAUAUGAAAGCAUUGUGUUUUGAAAGCACUUAAAAGAGGUUAAAUCCCUCUAUUGACUU